ensembl:lncRNA HAR1B highly accelerated region 1B
GGUUAAAACCCGCGCGCUGCAGCAUCGCGGAAAACGGGAUUCGCCUCAUUUGAAACUUGAGGAAAAUCUCUAAACACUUUCAUUUUGAUAGAAACCAUUUCCGCCGCUGACGUGCGUCUACGCCCAUCAUUUCAGCUGACACGUUGCUGUAACGUCUCCUCCGUUUCAUGCUCUUUCGAACCCUGUCAGCUGCGGGAAGGAACUUCUAAACUAAAAGCUGGCAAGACUCAGCAGAAAAAAAAUAUCGAAAGCUGCUUCUGCUGCCCCAGCUUCACUCAGGCCCUGGCUGCUCCUUCACUGGUCUACACUGCUGCCUCCUGGAACCACCCACUCUGCAACCAGGUAAAGAGUAUGGCCUCCUAGAUACCGACCUCAUGCCAUACGGAUGCAGUCAGGCUCUGGCGGUCAGGAAGGUGGCUCCGGAGCUCGGCUCUGCACCGCAUCCUCUGCCCC